rnacentral:rRNA from 1 species
GAUGAACGCUGGCGGCGUGCCUAAUACAUGCAAGUCGAGCGGACAGACGAGGAGCUUGCUCCUCUGACGUUAGCGGAGGACGGGUGAGUAACACGUGGAUAACCUACCUAUAAGACUGGGAUAACUUCGGGAAACCGGAGCUAAUACCGGAUAAUAUAUUGAACCGCAUGGUUCAAUAGUGAAAGACGGUUUUGCUGUCACUUAUAGAUGGAUCCGCGCCGCAUUAGCUAGUUGGUAAGGUAACGGCUUACCAAGGCUACGAUGCGUAGCCGACCUGAGAGGGUGAUCGGCCACACUGGAACGUAGACACGGUCCAGACUCCUACGGGAGGCAGCAGUAGGGAAUCUUCCGCAAUGGUCGAAAGCCUGACGGAGCAACGCCGCGUGAGUGAUGAAGGUCUUCGGAUCGUAAAACUCUGUUAUUAGGGAAGAACAAAUGUGUAAGUAACUAUGCACGUCUUGACGGUACCUAAUCAGAAAGCCACGGCUAACUACGUG